rnacentral:rRNA from 1 species
GACGAACGCUGGCGGCGUGCCUAAUACAUGCAAGUUGAGCGCUGAAGGUUGGUACUUGUACCGACUGGAUGAGCAGCGAACGGGUGAGUAACGCGUGGGGAAUCUGCCUUUGAGCGGGGGACAACAUUUGGAAACGAAUGCUAAUACCGCAUAAAAACUUUAAACACAAGUUUUAAGUUUGAAAGAUGCAAUUGCAUCACUCAAAGAUGAUCCCGCGUUGUAUUAGCUAGUUGGUGAGGUAAAGGCUCACCAAGGCGAUGAUACAUAGCCGACCUGAGAGGGUGAUCGGCCACAAUGGGACUGAGACACGGCCCAAACUCCUACGGGAGGCAGCAGUAGGGAAUCUUCGGCAAUAGACGAAAGUCUGACCGAGCAACGCCGCGUGAGUGAAGAAGGUUUUCGGAUCGUAAAACUCUGUUGGUAGAGAAGAACGUUGGUGAGAGUGGAAAGCUCAUCAAGUGACGGUAACUACCCAGAAAGGGACGGCUAACUACGUG